CCUACGGGUGGCAGCAGUGAGGAAUAUUGGUCAAUGGACGAGAGUCUGAACCAGCCAAGUAGCGUGAAGGAUGACUGCCCUAUGGGUUGUAAACUUCUUUUAUAUGGGAAUAAAACGUUCCACGUGUGGGAUUUUGUAUGUACCAUAUGAAUAAGGAUCGGCUAACUCCGUGCCAGCAGCCGCGGUAAUACGGAGGAUCCGAGCGUUAUCCGGAUUUAUUGGGUUUAAAGGGAGCGUAGGUGGAUUGUUAAGUCAGUUGUGAAAGUUUGCGGCUCACCCGUAAAAUUGCAGUUGAAACUGGCAGUCUUGAGUACAGUAGAGGUGGGCGGAAUUCGUGGUGUAGCGGUGAAAUGCUUAGAUAUCACGAAGAACUCCGAUUGCGAAGGCAGUUCACUGGACUGCAACUGACACUGAGGCUCGAAAGUGUGGGUAUCAAACAGGAUUAGAUACCCCAGUAGUC
rnacentral:rRNA from 1 species